GCCAGGUCCUGGAAGGUCAGUAACACAGCCAGUAACACGGCCAGGUCCUGGAAGGUCAGUAACACUGCCAGUAACACAGCCAGGUCCUGGAAGGUCAGUAACACUGCCAGUAACACAGCCAGGUCCUGGAAGGUAAGUAACACAGCCAGUAACACAGCCAGGUCCUGGAAGGUAAGUAACACAGCCAGUAACACAGCCAGGUUCUGGAAGGUAAGUAACACAGCCAGUAACACAGCCAGGUCCUGGAAGGUAAGUAACACAGCCAGGUCCUGGAAGAUAAGUAACACAGCCAGUAACACAGCCAGGUCCUGGAAGGUAAGUAACACAGCC